CCUACGGGAGGCAGCAGUAGGGAAUAUUGCUCAAUGGGGGAAACCCUGAAGCAGCAACGCCGCGUGGAGGAUGAAGGUUUUCGGAUUGUAAACCCCUUUUGUUAGAGAAGAUAAUGACGGUAUCUAACGAAUAAGCACCGGCUAACUCGGUGCCAGCAGCCGCGGCAAUAGGGAGGGUGCAAGCGUUACCCGGAAUCACUGGGAGUAAAGAGUGCGUAGGCGGGAUAGCAAGUCAGAUGUGAAAUGCUAUGGCUUAACCAUAGAACUGCAUUUGAAACUGUUAGACUAGAGUUUGGGAGAGGUAGGUGGAAUUCUUGGUGUAGGAGUGAAAUGCGUAGAGAUCAAGAGGAAUACUCAUUGCGAAGGCGGCCUGCUAGAACGUAACUGACGCUGAUGCGCGAAAGCGUGGGGAGCAAACAGGAUUAGAUACCCUUGUAGUC
rnacentral:rRNA from 1 species